CAGAGGGAGUAUUUAACUUGUUGCAUAUAAUAAAUUUGGAAAUGUCCAAAAUGACAAGCAGCAUAUAUAGAUCAGCUGGCUACUAUACCGUGCACUGCAGGUGAUCUCAUCCAACCAUCACAAGGACACACGCGCAUGCACGAGCUAUCUAAAGCUUAAAAGCCAGGAUCGAAUAAUUGAGCAGGCAGCUAAUGUAAGCUUAGCUAGGCCCAGGUUGUUGUUCACGUUUGCUUAGCAUUAUUCAUCAACCGGCAGCUUUCUCUCCUCUUCUUCUUCUUCUCCUUUUCCUUUCCUGGAAGGGUGUGAACUCAGAUCCUUGCCUUGUUUACACAUCAACCUAAGAAUCUUACUCUACAUGUCGGUGCAUUAGCUAAUGCAUCACCCACUUAAAAAAUAUAGAACAAAUACUUAAGAAUCUCUAAAAAAAAUUAUGUGCUAUAAGAUUUUGAUACGAAAAACUAUCGAGCCAUACAUAUAAGUCGAAAUUUGGAAUUGAUUUGAUAUGUUUAUAGAUCGUGACUCACGGAGCACCCCAUGAGCCAUGAGUCACCGCAGCAAAAUUCUCUCGCUUUGUAUAAAAUUUUCUUGCCGAGAAAAACACUAGUCGAAUUAAUGACCGAGUUAAAAACUGGCAAGAAAAAAAAAUGAUGUCAAAUCAAUUGAAAUGGCGUGAAGAAUACCGAUGUACGUAGCCCAGAUACCAAUCAUGGUACAGCAAUUAAUUCGUGGACGUAUUGUACGUUCGUAUACACCGUACGUACGUACGUACGCGCGUAUAGCGGCAAGUAUGUAGUAGAAAUUCUCCGUUGCAUCGGCAUCGCCCAUGCAUGCAUGCAACCACACGAUCGAUCGAAUUAACGUACAAGGCGGGGCCGGCGGUGGCGCCGGUGCAGGCGUGCAGCAAUGGCGGUGGCGGCGGCGGUGGGACAGACGGAUGUUGGGCUACGCGCGGCGGCGCAGCUGGCAGUCCGGCGUGGCCGUCGACGGCUGCAUCCGGAGCUGCUCGUAGAACUUGCUGAUGAAGUCCUCGAACUCGGCGUCGACGCGCUGCUCGCCGCCGCCUCCGUCCUCUGGCACGGCGGGGAACGGCGAGUCGGUGACGCGGAGAGGGCGGACCCCGGCCGGGCUGCGGCCGAGGAUCCACGCCACCAUN
rnacentral:lncRNA from 1 species